rnacentral:rRNA from 1 species
GUGCCAGCAGCCGCGGUAAUACGUAGGGGGCAAGCGUUGUCCGGAAUUAUUGGGCGUAAAGCGCGCGCAGGUGGUGGAUUAAGUUGUGGGUAAAAGGCAAUGGCUCAACCAUUGUAAGCCUGCAAAACUGGUUCACUUGAGUGCAGGAGAGGGGAGUGGAAUUCCCGGUGUAGCGGUGGAAUGCGUAGAGAUCGGGAGGAACACCAGUGGCGAAGGCGACUCUCUGGCCUGUAACUGACACUGAGGCGCGAAAGCGUGGGGAGCGAACAGGAUUAGAAACCCUUGUAGUCC